AGCAGCCGCGGUAAUUCCAGCUCCAAUAGCGUAUAUUAAAGUUGUUGCAGUUAAAAAGCUCGUAGUUGAAUUUUGGAUUCUUCCAAUUGGUCCAUCUUUUAGAUGAGUACUGGUUGUGUGGGGUCUAUCCGCCUGGUGAUACGUAAUGUCCUUUAUUGGAUGUUGCGGGUAGUCAGGACCUUUACCUUGAAAAAAUUAGAGUGUUUAAAGCAGGCUUAUGCCGGAAUGCAUUAGCAUGGAAUAAUAGAAUAGGACGAAGUUGUUUUAUUUUGUUGGUUUCUAGGACAACCGUAAUGAUUAAUAGGGAUAGUUGGGGGCAUUAGUAUUCAAUUGUCAGAGGUGAAAUUCUUGGAUUUAUUGAAGACUAACUACUGCGAAAGCAUUUGCCAAGGAUGUUUUCAUUAAUCAAGAACGAAAGUUAGGGGAUCGAAGACGAUCAGAUACCGUCGUAGUCUUAACCAUAAACUAUAGCCGACUAGGGAUCGGGCGAUGUUGUUUCCAUGACUCGCUCGGCACCUUA
rnacentral:rRNA from 1 species